GAGGCGUAAUAGAGUGGAACAAAGAACGCAACGGACGGGCGAGGGCCUAGAACAGAGCAGCACAGAGGAGAAUCGAUCAGCACGGAAAUGAACGGAACGGAACUGAACGGUAAAGAUCAGAGCUGAGGCGGAAUUGUCCAUGCCAUAUUUCACACUCCUUGGGAAAAGCAAACAAAAAGCUCAGCCCCUCCCCACACAAAGACAUGUCCUUCCGGCGACAUGCCAGCGAUAGCAUGUGUUAAUCAGCUAAUCGCGCCGAGAGGAAAGGAGAAUGAGAAGUUUAAGGCACCCCAACCAAAUACCCAAGUACUCAAAUGGGAACAAAAUUAAGCAGAAACAGAAAAGAUUUGUUUAAGGAGAAUGUAUUAACACGAAUGACAAGUAUCAUCAUACACAUACACAUAUAAAUACAUAUAUGUACUUACAUGAAUAUAUGUAUGUAUAUACUCGACACACGAAUGCAUUCACACAAGAAAGUCUGUAUGUCUAAUUGUAUCAGCCGUUUAUUGGCUCCACAAAGAGACAAACUCACGAAUUCAAAAUCCAUCCGUAAGUCUGAAGAAAGCUGGAAAAGACUGGGGACACGUCAGAGGACUGGGUCUGAUCUGGACAAGGGCCAGUCAUUGUCGUCACAACAACCGUGGCCCAAAGUCUGUCCUCACAACAGUGUCAUCUUAACAUAUACGAUUUCUGUUCUGCUCGGUUGCCUACGACGAUCUCUAUGCGAAAUUGAGAAAGUAUAAAGCGGCAAGGUCCUAUCAUGGUUAUCUUGGAUCCUUGGAGCUGCUCCCAACAGUUUACCCCUGCACGAGGGGGUAUACGAGCGGUUUCAUAUGUCAAGUCAAUCGAAGUUCCAGCUUUGCUGUUCGCUCUAAAGCUUUGUGAACAACACCCCAAAUAUAAUAAUAACAACAGAUAAACAGUGGGAGGGAGGAGCGGCAGGAACGGAGGGUAGACGCAGUAGGCGCAAUACCGAAUCGUUUGCUCAAACGGCAAUAGCUUAAGAAAUAAAAUGAAACCCAAGAGCGAGCAGCAGUGCCUCUCACCUGUGUCCAGCUCGUUCUGGUAGUCAAAGUA